rnacentral:rRNA from 1 species
AUUGAACGCUGGCGGCAUGCCUUACACAUGCAAGUCGAACGGUAGCAGGUCUUCGGAUGCUGACGAGUGGCGAACGGGUGAGUAAUACAUCGGAACGUGCCCAGACGUGGGGGAUAACGAGGCGAAAGCUUUGCUAAUACCGCAUACGAUCUAAGGAUGAAAGCAGGGGACCGCAAGGCCUUGCGCGUUUGGAGCGGCCGAUGGCAGAUUAGGUAGUUGGUGGGAUAAAAGCUUACCAAGCCGACGAUCUGUAGCUGGUCUGAGAGGACGACCAGCCACACUGGGACUGAGACACGGCCCAGACUCCUACGGGAGGCAGCAGUGGGGAAUUUUGGACAAUGGGCGAAAGCCUGAUCCAGCAAUGCCGCGUGCAGGAUGAAGGCCUUCGGGUUGUAAACUGCUUUUGUACGGAACGAAAAGGCUCUGGCUAAUACCUGGGGCACAUGACGGUACCGUAAGAAUAAGCACCGGCUAACUACGUG